rnacentral:rRNA from 1 species
AUACGGAGGGUGCAAGCGUUAUUCGGAAUCACUAGGCGUAAAGGACGCGUAGGCGGGUUGGCAAGUCAGAUGUGAAAUCCUACAGCUUAACUGUAGAACUGCAUUUGAAACUGCUAACCUAGAGUAUGGGAGGGGGAGAUGGAAUUAGUGGUGUAGGGGUAAAAUCCGUAGAUAUCACUAGGAAUACCGAAAGCGAAGGCGAUCUCCUGGAACAUAACUGACGCUAAGGCGUGAAAGCGUGGGGAGCAAACAGGAUUAGAAACCCUAGUAGUCC